AUUGAACGCUGGCGGCAGGCCUAACACAUGCAAGUCGAACGAGUGGCGGACGGGUGUGUAAUGUCUGGGAAACUGCGUGAUGGAGGGGGAUAACUACUGGAAACGGUACCUAAUACCGCAUACCCUCAGAUGUCUCCAGAUGGGAUUAGCUUGUUGGUGGGGUAACGGCUCACCAAGACGACGAUCCCUAGCUGGUCUGAGAGGAUGACCAGCCACACUGGAACUGAGACACGGUCCAGACGCCUACGGGAGGCAGCAGUGGGGAAUAUUGCACAAUGGGCGCAACCCUGAUGCAGCCAUGCCGCGUGUGUGAAGAAGGCCUUCGGGUUGUAAAGUACUUUCAGCGGGGAGGCGUUACCCGCAGAAGAAGCACCGGCUAACUCCGUGCCAGCAGCCGCGGUAAUAC
rnacentral:rRNA from 1 species